rnacentral:rRNA from 1 species
UCUUACAAUUGCGAUGGGGGGACGGAGAAGGCUAGGUGGGCCUGGCGACGGUUGUCCAGGUUCAAGUGCGUAGGCUUAAGAGUUAGGUAAAUCCGGCUCUUUUUAAGGCUGAGACACGACGUCGAGCUACUACGGUAGUGAAGUCAUUGAUGCCAUGCUUCCAGGAAAAGCCUCUAAGCUUCAGAUUGUAAGGAAUCGUACCCCAAACCGACACAGGUGGUCGGGUAGAGAAUACCAAGGCGCUUGAGAGAACUCGGGUGAAGG